GUGCUCACUUCAGCAGCAUAUAUACUACAAUUGGAAUGAUUCAGAGAAGAUUAGCAUAGCCUCUUCACAAGGAUGACACACCAACUCAUGAAGCAUUUCAUAAGUUU
ensembl:snRNA U6 U6 spliceosomal RNA